CAUCUGCUCAUAUGGGAUGACGUCUAUGCUAGGUAAGGAAACUACCAACAACCUAUUUCUCUCCAUACUACAACAUCUACUGCUCAUAAGGGAUGACAUCUAUGCCAGGUAAGGAAACUACCAACAACCUAUUUCUCUCUAUACUACAACAUCUACUGCUCAUAUGGGAUGACGUCUAUGCCAGGUAAGGAAACUACCAACAACCUAUUCCUCUCCAUACUACAACAUCUACUGCUCAUAUGGGAUGACGUCUAUGCCAGGUAAGGAAACUACCAACAACCUAUUUCUCUCCAUACUAAAACAUCUGCUCAUAUGGGAUGACGUCUAUGCCAGGUAAGGAAACUACCAACAACCUAUUUCUGGGAGGACAUGUAUGCCGUUUUUGUACAAUGCAUGUGUUGGGAGAAAUCUUUAAUCUUCCUUCAUAACUCAAUGAUUGCAAACCUGUGAUGUUGUUUUUCUCUGAUAUAAUGAGCGAAUAAGUUAUCAAAUGCCUGAGAAAAAACUAAUUUGCUGGGAGUUUUGUCAUCCCUUUAUCACAUCUUCAAAAUAAGUUCAAUUACUUGAGAGGGUCAUAUGGUUAAAAAGGUUAAAGCCUUAUGUGUCUGAUGAUGAGGGAUUGAAAA